CUGGCCUUCAGUUUCCAUAUUGGUGUCUUUGUGAAGCUUCCUAUCUUUGCUUUUCAACUAAGAUGAAACAGCAUUUAAAAGAAAAUGCCAUGUGAGAUGAGAUCAGGAGAAUGGAUUCUUUCUUUCAUCUGAAUAGAGAGCUGCUGUUCGAGAUUCUAACUCAAAUAGCUCAAAGGACACCUUCUCCGGGAAACCUUCCCUGACUUCC
rnacentral:lncRNA from 1 species